UACGUAGGUGGCAAGCGUUGUCCGGAUUUAUUGGGUUUAAAGGGUGCGUAGGCGGCCUUGUAAGUCAGUGGUGAAAUACUCUAGCUUAACUAGAGGGGUGCCAAUGAUACUGCAGGGCUUGAGUACAGAUGAGGUAGGCGGAAUUGACGAUGUAGCGGUGAAAUGCAUAGAUAUCGUCAAGAACACCUAUAGCGAAGGCAGCUUACUGGGCUGUAACUGACGCUGAGGCACGAAAGUGUGGGGAUCAAACGGG
rnacentral:rRNA from 1 species